rnacentral:rRNA from 1 species
UACGAGUGCCCCAAGCGUUAUCCGGAAUCAUUGGGCGUAAAGGGUGUGUAGGUUGUCUUGUUAGUCUUCUGUGAAAUUCUUCGGCUUAACCGGGGGUCCGCAGGGGAAACGGCAAGACUAGAGGAUGUGAGAGGUGAAUGGAACUCAUGGUGUAGGGGUGAAAUCCGUUGAUAUCAUGGGGAACACCAAAAGCGAAGGCAGUUCACUGGCGCAUUCCUGACACUCAAACACGAAAGCGUGGGUAGCGAAUGGG